GUGUAGAGAGGGGGCCCAAAAAGACUGUGUUGUCCCGGGCCCUAGCAAAGCUGUCAGCUGGUCUGCUUGUAAGGGUGUUCUUGGUCUCCUGAGAAGAAUACCCAAGCGUCGUUUCUCGUGUAUGGUUAUGAGUGUAUGUGUGGGCAUUAGGGUAGGAACGUGUGACUGCGUGCCUGUGACUAUGUGCUUAUCUUGUUGUCGGACAUCUCAGGUCUCAACUAAGGGUGGAGCCCAUCUUCCUGUAAAGCUUCCUACCGGUGAUUGCCGCUCCUCGGUAUCAAGGGCUGGGUCCUCGGGAGUGUGGUGACUCAUCGUGGCAGCUGCUUCGCGGGGCGUGAGCUCCCUCGCUCUGUUCGGACCCUGCUUGGGGGCAGUGGGCCCUUGGGCCUCAGGUCUUCUGGCCCAUGGCUGGAUCUGCUCUGGAGUAGCUGGCUGCCUGUGCAGUCCCCGGGGGCUUCUGCAUUGUGGCUGCUGGGGGGUUUCCUGGGGCUCUCCUCUGUGAUGGGGGAGGCAGCCAUCUCUGUGUUGGUAAUUCUUGGGCUCCUAUGUUCUGGGGGCCCAUUUGGGCGUCUCUGAUUUUGUUGUUCUUUCUAUAUCUCUUUCUGCAGAUGUGGAAGCAGACAACAGGACCUGCUGCUAACAUCUUCAUCCAAGAAACUCCAGUACGUCUUCAGAAGUCCAUGCAUCAGCCGGUCAAGGCAUUUUCGGCAGCAAAAAGGGACCUGCACUCUAAUAGUCAGAAUGAGACAGGGCUGGACUGUGACAGAGAGACUUCCAAAAUGAUCCAGCCAGGCUUUGAUAAUGAUUUUGUUCCACCAGACUGUGAGUCCAGCAUCAUCCACUCUGCUGUUCAGCACUGGGCCGUCAUCAUUCCACACCUCUCCAU